UGCAGCAGCUGUGCAGUGAGUUUGUCUUAAGUUUAUUAAUUUUCUUAACAAGUUUUUCAUAGUUUAAAUUUAGAAUUCCAUUUUUAGAGUAUUACUUCAUAUUUAGUGAAAGAGCCUACAGUUAACUUUCACCUCAUAAAAGUGAAAGAGCCUACUUAUGUGUUGCAUUAAGUAGCCUCCUUCCCACCACCAGAGUGACCUUGUGCACUUCCCAUGUGCAUACAGAGACCUUGUGUGGGUACAAGUACCACAUAAUCUUGCCACAUAAACAAUGGGCAGCCAUAUUUACUGACCAUGUGAUUUCAGAGACAAGUGUUUUCAUACUCAUUGCGAUUUAGUUCUUCAAGUUUCAUCACUUUAUUCACUCUUUGUGGACCUUGAAAGACCCCAUUUUGAUUGUUAUCUCAAUCUCAAUCUACUAUCAGCAAUCAC